AUUGAACGCUGGCGGCAUGCUUUACACAUGCAAGUCGAACGGCAGCGCGGGCUUCGGCCUGGCGGCGAGUGGCGAACGGGUGAGUAAUGCAUCGGAACGUGCCCAGUAGUGGGGGAUAGCCCGGCGAAAGCCGGAUUAAUACCGCAUACGACCUGAGGGUGAAAGCGGGGGACCGAAAGGCCUCGCGCUAUUGGAGCGGCCGAUGUCGGAUUAGCUAGUUGGUGGGGUAAAGGCUUACCAAGGCGACGAUCCUUAGCUGGUCUGAGAGGACGACCAGCCACACUGGGACUGAGACACGGCCCAGACUCCUACGGGAGGCAGCAGUGGGGAAUUUUGGACAAUGGGGGCAACCCUGAUCCAGCCAUGCCGCGUGCGGGAAGAAGGCCUUCGGGUUGUAAACCGCUUUUGUUCGGGAAGAAAUCCUCUGGGCUAAUACCCCGGGGGGAUGACGGUACCGGAAGAAUAAGCACCGGCUAACUACGUG
rnacentral:rRNA from 1 species